rnacentral:tRNA from 1 species
GGGGUUGUGGCUCGGCGGUAGAGCGCUCACCUAGCAUGUGUGAGGCCCUGGGUUCGAUCCUCAGCACCA